AAGUCGUAACAAGGUAACCGUAGGUGAACCUGCGGUUGGAUCAUUAAAAAUGUUGAAGUGAGGGCGAGAUUCUAGGCUGGCUGAUUUAUUUCAGCCGCCUAGUAUAUGUCUACCCAAACUUUUCACCCUUUGUGCACUAAAAUUGUAUUUUGGGCGGUUGAGGUAAAACUUUCCGCCCAGCAAUGUUAAACACCAUUUGAAACUUGUCUGAAAUUAUUAUAUAAAUAGUAACAACUUUUGACAACGGAUCUCUUGGCUCUC
rnacentral:misc_RNA from 1 species